rnacentral:rRNA from 1 species
GGCGGCGUGCCUAACACAUGCAAGUCGAGCGGAGACAUACAGCGGAUAGGAAGUUUUCGGAUGGAAUUGAAGAGGUAUGUUUUAGCGGCGGACGGGUGAGUAACGCGUGAGCAACCUGUCCUUCACGAGGGGGAUAAUGCAGCGAAAGUUGUACUAAUACCGCAUAAGACCACAGAGCCACAUGGCUUAGGGGUCAAAGGAGCAAUCCGGUGAAGGGUGGGCUCGCGUCCGAUUAGAUAGUUGGUGAGGUAACGGCCCACCAAGUCGACGAUCGGUAGCCGACCUGAGAGGGUGAUCGGCCACAUUGGGACUGAGACACGGCCCAAACUCC